UCAACUUCCGGUCCUUUCUUUCUUCUUCCUCCCUCUCCUGGCGGACGGAAGUGAGAGAUUUCUAUAGAAAUCAAUUGCGCAAUCCAGGAGAUUUCAGUUUAACUGUAAGUGAGCAGCGGGCUGCCCAACUAGAAACAAAAAGACAGCGGCAAAGACAGGAGUUCCUGCUCUUUCUAUCUCAAGUCUUAUUUCAUGAGGGGGAAAAAUAAUUGUUUGGAGUCUUUGAACAUUUAAAAGCGCAACGCUGCUGCGUACAGAUCAAUGGAGCAUAUGGCUUCAGCUUGCAGUUUGGCGCUGUAUUGGAGUUGGGAGGGGGUCUUAAGGGGACAGUUCAAGUAGAUCGAUGGCAACUUGAGAGGUGUCAUAUACGGUGGAUUUGGGGAUGGAAAUCCAAACUCCUCAGCUGCAUCUCUAACCUCUAAUAGUGACAGUGGGCUACAUUAUCAUAAGUCACCCCCACAGACACACGCAAUAUGCAGAUAGUGGACAGAUAGUGGACAGAGUUGGCAGAGCGAUUUUCAAAAUGUUUUUAAAAAUUCAAAAAGUCAUGUGAAAUAAGACGUGAUAAGAAAGAACAGGGACUUUUAUCUUUAAAGCUCCCCUUUGUUUCUGACAUUUCCUGUCCAUUCACAGCUAGGUUACAACUUUGGAAUUCUCCAUUGAUUUCUGUGGACAGCUCUCAUUUCCACCCUGGGAAAGAUGAAAAAAAUAUGACUGGACACUUUCUACAUAGACAACAAAGAGAUGGCUCCCUGCCUCAAUCCAGCAGAAUGUAGAACCCAGGAUCAGUUUCUACAUAAGAUGCGAGCUGGAGCGUUUAUAUAAUCUGCAUUAUCAGAUUCUGCUCAGAUUGAAUCAAGAAGGCCCCAUUCUGAAUGCAUGUGUGCUCACACUGCCUUGAUACUGCCACACAGAACAAAACUCAUUGUGCACAGAUGAAAAAAAAUUAGACGGAACACUGCUCAGGACUGCAUGAGUAAGUUCUAUCCACUUUUGGUUUCACUUUCUAUUCCCCUCUCCUAUUCCUUGCAUUUAUAUUCUCCUCAUUGUUCAGAUAUACUCCAUGUCCCCAAAUUCUCUAUUCAUUCAUUGACCUGCUUUAGGCCAAUUCACACAUUAUGCUGUACACUUGUACAUGUUUGUGCGAAUGACUGUACCUGGGCUCAUGUUAAAAGUAACCUGGAUUCUGGCCCUUCAAAUACAUGGUACAGAUAGAAAGUGUACUGCUCUACCUAUGUUCAACAUAACAUGUGAAUGACUGUACCUGUGUACAGAUCUGGACUGUACCUUUGUACAUUGUACACCCAUUGUGCGAGUGUUGAA